AGGUCAGGACAGUGACCAACCUCAACAUAACUAAAAGUCAGUAGAACUUCAGAGGUCGUACGGGAGGGUGUGUUGUUCCUUCUGCCAUCCCCCGUCGAAUUUACCGCUUCCCCAUCCUUUUAAUACAUCUAAAUAACGUGUGGUAACUGAGGAGUGUUGUGCCUGGCUGUGUCUGCUGCAACAUUGAUCAACACAGCAACAUUGACCAGUCUGAGGGGUGGAGACAACCACACUAGUAAAUGAUCUGACCCAUAACAUUUUGUCAUACCUGGAGUAUAUCUGGAGAGGGUUGCUUCAGGUAUGUGGAGAUGCAACAGCUGGAAACGUCGUCAGAGGUGGGCGGGGCCCACUUGUAAGGUAUUUCCAGGGUUGACUACAAGGCUGGACGAGGACAUAGGAUGGCAUACACAAGGCUAGCAGGUGUUACAGAAGCGAGAUACACUUCUCUGGGGGCCCCAUAUGUAUCUCAUUGCUGCAUAGACCAAACAUCGAACCUGGAAGAACGUUAUGUCAAAGUUCUUCCAGAAGAAAUGACCUCAGUUCAUUGUUCAAGGCAUGUAGUAGUAGUUUGCAGUUAGCGGAAUCAUCACACCUUGCUGGAUAAUCUCUCAAGGAAAUAAUCUGUGGGGGAGGGGGCAUCAUUCUCUGGGCACAUAACGAACAUCUCGGCCACCAGUGUUGGUCAGUAUGUAGCUGUCAUGAUGGGCCUGAUAAUGCUUAUCAAACAGUGUAGGGUAGUAACAGACCUAUAGCAUUUUGACUGAUAGACUCUUCAAUGUCUGUAGUUGAAUCAGUAACUCCAGAUGAUCAGGAGAGGAAGCAGAGAUGGCUGUAGCAAUUGAGCCAUAGGUUGGUUGAGGUGAAAUUGGAACCCAUGGCAUAGACCCAUCCUCUUACCGCCCAAAAUGAUGACUACAGAAGUCACUGAUGUGACAGACUUUGUGCAAGAUUUGAAAAAAGUUAUUAGUGUGGCUUGUCACUGGUGUGGCUUGUCACCAGUGUGGUUUGUCACCAGUGUGGCUUGUCACCGGUGUGGCUUGUCACCGGUGUGGCUUGUCACUGGUGUGGCUUGUCACCGGUGUGGCUUGUCACUGGUGUGGCUUGUCACCGGUGUGGCUUGUCACCGGUGUGGCUUGUCACCAGUGUGGCUUGUCACCGGUGUGGCUUGUCACCAGUGUGGCUUGUCACCAGCGUGGCUUGUCACCAGCGUGGCUUGUCACCAGUGUGGCUUUGUUAGGUAGGGUCAAGAUACUCAACAUGAACUGUUACUUAUACAGAAUUUACCUGGCUGUAUAUCAGAUGCUCCUGUUAUGGCUAAGUUUAAGAGUUAUAUUGGCUUGAGGGGCCAGUAGUGUUCCAGUACACUGGUAUCAGCUGAACUCUCGGAACCAUGACACUGAGGUCCAAGCUAUGCUACUUUCCAUGAGUGCUCACAAUCACGUAUGAUUAAAUUUAGAAUUUAUAACUGUAAUAAAGGCGUCAGUUAUUAGGUGCAUCUUAUGACUGUGCGAAAAUAAGUAAGUUAGUCGAGUAAAAGCACACGACCAGAUAACAUCCCAGCCAAAUUCCUAAAAGAUGGUACCUCUGAAUUGCCAGUCCCCAUCACGCACAUAAUAAAUUUGUCCAUUAUCAUCAAUACCAUGGCAGAGGGUUCAAGGAGGCCAGAGUUACUCCAUCUUCAAGAAAAACUAGGUCUAAUGUCACCAGCUAUAGGCCUCUUAUUAUAAGAACAUAGGAAAGGAACACUGCAGCAGGUCUACUGACCCAUGCGAGGCAAGUCCAAGUCACCCACCUGCCCAAGCUUAGUAGGGCAGGUCACAUCUUAAGGAAGGAGACAUAUAAAUAACCC